rnacentral:tRNA from 1 species
GCCUUUGUGGUGCAGUGGUCAGCACGCUUGGCACGUAUUCAAGAGGUCCAUGGUUCGAGUCCCGGUGAGGGCA